GACGAACGCUGGCGGCGUGCUUAACACAUGCAAGUCGAACGGAAAGGCCCUGCUUUUGUGGGGUGCUCGAGUGGCGAACGGGUGAGUAACACGUGAGUAACCUGCCCUUGACUUUGGGAUAACUUCAGGAAACUGGGGCUAAUACCGGAUAGGAGCUCCUGCUGCAUGGUGGGGGUUGGAAAGUUUCGGCGGUUGGGGAUGGACUCGCGGCUUAUCAGCUUGUUGGUGGGGUAGUGGCUUACCAAGGCUUUGACGGGUAGCCGGCCUGAGAGGGUGACCGGCCACAUUGGGACUGAGAUACGGCCCAGACUCCUACGGGAGGCAGCAGUGGGGAAUAUUGCACAAUGGGCGGAAGCCUGAUGCAGCAACGCCGCGUGCGGGAUGACGGCCUUCGGGUGGUAAACCGCUUUCGCCUGUGACGAAGCGUGAGUGACGGUAAUGGGUAAAGAAGCACCGGCUAACUACGG
rnacentral:rRNA from 1 species